UAAUACGUAGGGGGCAAGCGUUGUCCGGAUUUAUUGGGCGUAAAGAGCGUGUAGGCGGCCUGGCAGGUCGACUGUGAAAACUCGAGGCUCAACCUCGAGACGUCGGUCGAAACCGCAAGGCUAGAGUCCGGAAGAGGAGAGUGGAAUUCCCGGUGUAGCGGUGAAAUGCGCAGAUAUCGGGAAGAACACCCGUGGCGAAGGCGGCUCUCUGGGACGGUACUGACGCUGAGACGCGAAAGCGUGGGGAGCGAACAGGAUUAGAUACCCUGGUAGUCCACGCCGUAAACGAUGGGAACUAGGUGUGGCGGGUGUCGACUCCCGCUGUGCCGAAGCUAACGCAUUAAGUUCCCCGCCUGGGGAGUACGGCCGCAAGGCUA
rnacentral:rRNA from 1 species